rnacentral:tRNA from 1 species
UAAAAAUUAGUUAAAUUAUAUAACAUUAAAUUGUCAAUUUAAAAUUAUUUAAAAAAAUAUUUUUAA